rnacentral:rRNA from 1 species
UCGGAGAAGCUGACAGCCAUGCCGCGUGCAGGAGACGGCCUUCUGGGUUGUAAACUGCUUUUGCUCAGGGAGAUAAAAUGCCCAUGCGUGGGUCAUUGAAGGUACCUGACGAAUAAGACCACGGCUAACUACGUGCCAGCAGCCGCGGUAAUACGUAAGUGGCAAGCGUUGUCCGGAUUUAUUGGGUUUAAAGGGUGCGUAGGCGGCCUUGUAAGUCAGUUCUGAAAUAUCCCGGCUUAACCGGGAGGGUGGGAUUGAUACUGCAGGGCUUGAGUAGAGUCGAGGUAGGCGGAAUUGACGGUGUAGCGGUGAAAUGCUUAGAUAUCGUCAAGAACACCGAUAGUGUAGGCAGCUUACUAGACUCAAACUGACGCUGAGGCACGAAAGUGUGGGGAUCAAACAGGAUUAGAUACCCUGGUAGUCCACACUGUAAACGUUGAUUACUCGCUGUGUGCGAUAUACAGUACGCGGCUUAGCGAAAGCGAUAAGUAAUCCACCUGGGGAGUACGCCGGCAACGGUGAAACUCAAAGAAAUUGGACGGAUGGUGG